GACGAACGCUGGCGGCGUGCUUAACACAUGCGAGUCGAACGGAAAGACCCUGCUUUUGUGGGGUGCUCGAGUGGCGAACGGGUGAGUAACACGUGAGUAACCUGCCCUUGACUUUGGGAUAACUUCAGGAAACUGGGGCUAAUACCGGAUAGGAGCUCCUGCUGCAUGGUGGGGGUUGGAAAGUUUCGGCGGUUGGGGAUGGACUCGCGGCUUAUCAGCUUGUUGGUGGGGUAGUGGCUUACCAAGGCUUUGACGGGUAGCCGGCCUGAGAGGGUGACCGGCCACAUUGGGACUGAGAUACGGCCCAGACUCCUACGGGAGGCAGCAGUGGGGAAUAUUGCACAAUGGGCGGAAGCCUGAUGCAGCAACGCCGCGUGCGGGAUGACGGCCUUCGGGUUGUAAACCGCUUUCGCCUGUGACGAAGCGUGAGUGGCGGUAAUGGGUAAAGAAGCACCGGCUAACUACGUG
rnacentral:rRNA from 1 species